rnacentral:rRNA from 1 species
UGGGUUAGUGGCGGACGGGUGAGUAACGCGUGGGUAACCUGCCUUACACAGGGGGAUAACACUUAGAAAUAGGUGCUAAAACCGCAUAAGCGCACAGCUUCGCAUGAAGCGGUGUGAAAAACUCCGGAGGUGUAAGAUGGACCCGCGUCUGAUUAGCUUGUUGGCGGGGUAACGGCCCACCAAGGCGACGAUCAGUAGCCGGCCUGAGAGGGCGGACGGCCACAUUGGGACUGAGACACGGCCCAGACUCCUACGGGAGGCAGCAG